rnacentral:rRNA from 1 species
CCAGGUGCGGCCGCCUAUAAUGCGAGUCGCGCGCGGGAAGUGAGCUGAAGCCCUUCGGGGUGGACGCUCGUGGAACGAGCGGCGGACGGGUGAGUAACACGUGGGCAACCUACCUGUAAGACCGGAAUAACCCCGGGAAACCGGGGCUAAUGCCGGGUAACCGUUCGGUUCUCCUGAACCGAACGUAAAAGGAUGGCUUCUUGCUAUCGCUUACAGAUGGGCCCGCGGCGCAUUAGCUAGUUGGUAAGGUAACGGCUUACCAAGGCGACGAUGCGUAGCCGACCUGAGAGGGUGAUCGGCCACACUGGGACUGAGACACGGCCCAGACUCCUACGGGAGGCAGCAGUAGGGAAUCUUCCGCAAUGGACGAAAGUCUGACGGAGCAACGCCGCGUGAACGAUGAAGGCUUUCGGGUCGUAAAGUUCUGUUGUGAGGGAAGAACAAGGAUCGUGCGAACAGAGCGGUCCCUUGACGGUACCUCACGAGGAAGCCCCGGCUAACUACGUGCCAGCAGCCGCGGUAAUACGUAGGGGGCAAGCGUUGUCCGGAAUUAUUGGGCGUAAAGCGCACGCAUGCGGUUCCUUAAGUCUGAUGUGAAAGCCCGUGGCUCAACCACGGAGGGCCAUUGGAAACUGGGGAACUUGAGACUGAAGAGGAGAGUGAAUUCCACGUGUAGCGUGAAAUGCGUAGAUAUGUGCAGGAACACCAGUGGCGAGCGACUCUCUGUCGCUUCUGACGCUGAGGUGCCAAAGCGGGUAGCAAACAGAAUAGAAACCCUGUAGUCCACCGCGUACGAUGAUGCUAGUUUAAGGGCUCCCACCCUAGCUGAGUACGCAUAGCACUCCGCCUGGGGAUACCGUCCCAAGCUAACUCCAAGAAUUGACGCACGCCAUCGGUUGAGACCGUGUUUUAUAUCAGAGAGCGGAAACUUCACGGUGAACCUGACUAAAGUUAGUCUGCAAUAGCGGCUAUGUCACUCUGCGGAUGUGUACCAGACU